AAUUAAUAAUAAAAUAACCUUCUAAUUUUUACAAAAAGAGUUUGGUAUUAGAUGUCCUAAAAAUCCAGCGCUUCUAAAGCCGUCGCCAAGAUUGGAAACAAACCAAAUUUCAAGGACUCUGACAACAUGAAGCACAAAGUUAAGUGCACUCUUGUUGGUUGUUGAUGGAGCAGUGCCCCCCCCAUUUUCACUUUCCAAUGCACUUAAAAAAAGUGGAGUCCCAUCGACGAAUCUUAAUGCCAAGAACUUAUGUAGAAGACAGAACUAAAAAAAAUGAAUUCUCAUGACAUGAUUGAAAAAAGGGUAAAUGUAAAUAUGUAAAUAUAGCAUUUACUCAUAUAUAUGACCUACCUAGUACUACGGAAUCCUUGGGGUGGGGAAAAAAUAGAGCUAAAAGAGACAUCCUGAAAUGAAGAUAGCAGUUAUAUUUGAUAAUUGCCAUAUCUUAAGAAUCAAUACUUUGAAAAAUAUCAAUAAUAGGUUGAAAGACUUAAUUUUAUUAUUAUUUAAUAUUUUGUAGAAUAAAUGAUACUUCAUUGAUUACAGGUU
rnacentral:lncRNA from 1 species